GGAUUGCUGUGACUGCCUGCAAGGGCUGUGCUAGUGCGGAAGCUGAGGAUGGCUCCCCUGGAAUGCCAGAACAACUCCCCAUCUCUGCCCUGGAGUCUCUGUUCAUCCCUGGUUUUACUCACAUUUUACAAAAUAAACUCCCAAGGGCUUCCCCUCCUGUAAUAGCCUUUCUCCCAGGAGCCUUUGGUGGUUUGCGCUAACAGGGCCAGUGGUUAAUACCCAGUGUUUGCUUACCUCCCUUGAGGAUGCCCCCCCCCACCAGAGCUGUCUCCACACCAUGGAUGUACAUCCUCAUUUACCACUGAGAACCAGCUUGGCCCAGCUGGCAGUGUUGUAGCAGCAGAGGGGUAAGAAGAAGGUAAUGCUCGAAGCACACCUUCCAGGCCUGGGGGCUGGGGAGGGAUCUGUUGGAUCUCCUGUGUGUUAUUGUGACAAGCACAAAGGGUGGACUCUUGGCCACGUGUUCCACGUCUCAAAGCAGUGUCUGUGGCUCAGGCUGCCAUUGCCUCAAGCAGCCUCCCUAAGGCAGGAAUUUUUACAGCAGGGGAGACUGAAGAGCACAGAUGCUCUCCUGCAUGGACAGCCACUCUCUGCUAAGGAGGAAACCUGGUGUUCCCAGGCUUCUGAUUUUUCAGAAGAUAACAUUUUCCAAACUGCUCUGACUGCCACGGGAGUGCUGAGGAAGUUUGUAUCAUCCAGAAUUUAACCCCCUCCUCAAAAUGUAUGUUUCCUGACAAAGUGUAUUUAAUUUAAACUGUUCUUCUAAUUUAUACUUGAAUCCACUGAAAAUAGAAAUUUAAAUCAUA